rnacentral:rRNA from 1 species
GACGAACGCUGGCGGCGUGCUUAACACAUGCAAGUCGAACGAAGUGGCGAACGGGUGAGUAACGCGUAAUCAACCUGCCCUUCAGUGGGGGACAACAGUUGGAAACGACUGCUAAUACCGCAUACUGAAGGAGGGGAUUGGGUCUGCUUAGCUAGUUGGAGGGGUAACGGCCCACCAAGGAGAUGAUCAGUAGCCGGUCUGGGAGGAUGAACGGCUACAUUGGGACUGGGACACGGCCCAAAUUCCUGCGGGAGGCAUCAGUGGGGAAUCUUCCGCAAUGGAAGGAAGUCUGACGGAGCAACGCCGCGUGAGGGAUGACGGCCUUCGGGUUGUAAAACUCAGUUAAUCGGGACGCGGUACCGGAAUAGAAAGCCACGGCUAACUACGUGCCAGCAGCCGCGGUAAUAC